CGAAUCUUCCGCAAUGCACGAAAGUGUGACGGAGCAAUGCCGCGUGUGGGAUGAAGCGGCUACGCCGUGUAAACCACUGUCAGGGUCUAGGAAGAACAGACCAGACCCAGAGGAAGGGCCGGCUAAUCUCGUGCCAGCAGCCGCGGUAAUACGAGAGGCCCAAGCGUUAGACGGAAUCACUGGGCUUAAAGCGUGCGUAGGCGGAUGCGUAAGCGUGUUGUGAAAUCCCACAGCUCAACUGUGGAACUGCGAUGCGAACUGCGUAUCUUGAGGAAGGUAGGGGUCAGUGGAACGUUCGGUGGAGCGGUGAAAUGCGUAGAUAUCGAACGGAACGCCAAUGGUGAAGACAACUGACUGGGCCUUUCCUGACGCUGAGGCACGAAAGCGUGGGGAGCAA
rnacentral:rRNA from 1 species